GACGAACGCUGGCGGCGUGCUUAACACAUGCAAGUCGAACGGAAAGGCCCUGCUCUUGUGGGGUGCUCGAGUGCCGAACGCGUGAGUAAAACGCGAGUAACCUCCCCUUGACUUUGGGAUAACUUCAGGAAACUGGGGCUAAUAUCGGAUAGGAGCUCCUGCUGCAUGGUGGGCGUUGGUAAGUUUCGGCGGUUGUGGAUCGACUCGCUGCUUAUCAGCUUCUUUGUGUGGUAGUGGCUGACCAAGCCUUUGAAGGCUAGCCGGCCUGGGAGGUGGACCGGCGACAUUAGGACUGCGAGACGGCGCAGUAGCGUACGGGAGGCAGCAGGCGGGAGUAUGGCACAAUGGGCGGAAGUCUGAGGCAGCGGCGCCGCGUGCGGGAUGACGGCUUUCGGGUUGUAAACCGCUUUCGACUGUAACGAAGCGUGAGUGACGGUAAUGGGUAAAGAAGCACCGGCUAACUACGUG
rnacentral:rRNA from 1 species